GCCAUCUGGCCCGGUGUUGGUGCCUGUGUAAACAGGUGAAAAGGGAAUGGUCAGCCUGCGGUGCCUGUCGGCAUUGCGGGUCAAGACAGCCGCCCCCGCGACCGUGAACGGAGAAGGUGCUUCGAUGCCACUGGCCCAAGGGCCGGGAAGGCGGAGCACCGCAGGGCCAUGUGCCCGGGAUGCCGUGAGCCGGGAGACCUGCCAGCCCGUAUAUUGACCGA
rnacentral:ncRNA from 1 species